UCGCUGGAUCAGUAAUGCCUUCCAAGCUACGAUAGGUAGCCGACCUGAGAGGGUGACCGGCCACAUUGGGACUGAGAUACGGCCCAGACUCCUACGGGAGGCAGCAGCUGAGAAUCUUCCACAAUGGACGAAAGUCUGAUGGAGCGACAUCGCGUGAGGGAUGAAGGCCUUCGGGUUGUAAACCUCGGAAAUUAUCGAAGAAUGAGUGACAGUAGAUAAUGUAAGCCUCGGCUAACUACGUGCCA
rnacentral:rRNA from 1 species